UACGAAUUAUCUUUGAAAGACAGGAUCCUGAAAAAGGGACGUUUCUUUUUUUGCUGAGUUUAUAAAGGCAACUGGCCUGCUCUCAGAAGUAGCACACACUUCAAACAAACAUGAAGACAGCAACUUUGAUCCUGCUUUGUGUCAGUCUUCGGAGCUGAAUUUGCUCACUCCCCUGGUAAGUAGGCUUCUUCAAUUGUAAGAGGGCUUUUAUAUAUCUCCCAUUUUAUUUUUCAUGUGUUCAUUGGAUAAAUGAUUACCAUUAUGUUAUUUAGUAUGUACAAAAAGCACAUUUUGCAGUAUCGACAUGGAUAACUUGAUAAGUGAAUAGCAUAUUCAGAUGUUGAAAGCUAGUAAUAACAAUUACCUUUAGUUUUUGUUGUAAUAGGACUAUAUCUUAUCUGCUGUUCCUUCAAAUCAAUAGGUGGAAGAUCUGAGAACUAUCUAUGCAGGGGAAAACUAAUGCAGUCUGUGAGGAUAAAACGCAUCCAGAAGUUAGAGGUGUACCCAAAUUCUGUCUUCUGUGCAAAGGCAGAAGUUAUUGCCACAAUGAAGAAUGGAAAAAAAAAUGUAUGAACCCAGAGGGCAAACUAGGAAAAAGGUUCCUGAUGAGAAAAAGACUGGAGGAGCAACAGAAGCCAAAAGGAGGACUGGGAAGGAAAAACAAAAAUAAUUCAAAUCCCUGAGUUGGUACAGAAUUAGAAAAUAGAUUAAAGCCUCACACCAGAAGUGUGUACUGGUCAAGUUGGAGACGGUCACUGCAGCCUGUCUGGGAGGGGAGGGGAUUCCUUCCCGGAAUACGUUCUGGACACUCAUAGUACACAAUGUGUCCAUGCGUUCCAUUCCCAUGUAAACAGGAGAACGUCCAAGAUGUUGUCACAGAGACUUACCUCAAUGGUUCUCAUGAUUGUUUAUGGACAUUUGUUUUAAAUGGGUACAUGGCAGUGAAUGUUUGUGUGGGUUAUAUCACUACUUUAUUUAUGUGUCUAUGUUUAGUGUCACGACUUCCGCCGAAGUUGGUCCCUCUCCUUGUUCGGGCGGCGUUCGAAGUCACCAACCUUCUAGCCAUCGCUGAUCCUCUUUUUAUUUUCCUU